AUAUAAGGAGGUUUGGGGUAGAGGGAGGUUCAUCUCCAUCUGAUAUGACGGCCCCUACCGUCGUUGCUUUUCCUGGAGGAAGCUCUCUUGAGGCUCAUCUUCUUCAAUCGUUCUCCAUCUCAAGCUUUAGCAUCAAGCCUGGUGGAGUUGUCCUGGGGAACUUGCAUGAAAUCGAAUCAACGAUUUACCAGAAGAUUAAAAGGGAAGCAGUGAGAACUAGUGGUUAUCAGAAAUUGAAGGCGAGUCUUUGGAGAAUGGAGUUCAUGGCUGUGAGAUGGAGAUGGGUUUUCCAUCUUCAAGCAAAUCUCUGAGAUUUGCCCCAGAUCUGGUUAUGGACAAGUACGGACAAAGUGUAUAGUAAAAGCGAACCAUUUUUUUUGCGGAGCUACCAGACAAGGACUAGAACAAAUAUGAUGUCACCAUAACUCCUGAAGUUGUAUCAAGAAAUUUGAUCAGAGCUAUCAUGGCAGAGCUUGUGAAAUUGUACAAAGGUUCUGACCUGGGAAUGAGAUUGCCCGCUUAUGAUGGAAGAAAGAGCUUAUACACUGCUGGUGAGCUUCUGUUUACUUCGAAGGAGUUCAACAUUAAGCUUCUGGAAGAAGAUGAUAGAAUCAGGGAUAGAACAUGCAAAAAAUCUGGGCGUCCAAAGGUUGUGGAUUGAGUGUGACUAGGUCGUAGUGGUUUUGUUUUAGAACAACAAGGUUCCUUGGAACGUUUGUCAAGGGUGGUUUGCAUACAUGAGGUUUUUAGAUCGUGUGGAGCAUAAAAUCAGUCAUUGUUUCCUUGAGGCAAAUUCAAUCACUGAUUUUCUUUCAUAGACAGCAACUAGGUUUGAGACUUCAGCCCUAGUGACAACGUGGUCGGCUUUGGUCAAGAUGGAUCUAGAUAUGGAUGCUUCGGGUCGUCCUAGAUUUAGGAUGGCUUAAUGGGCUGUUUCUAAUUUUAUUUUUGUGUGGGUGUUGAGUUUUGGUCUCCUUUUUUUCUGCAGAUGACAAUUCCUCCACUUUGAUUUCUGUUUGGGGCUUCUUCUUGGCUCUUUUCAGCUUGUACGUUAUUUCAUUCUUUUUCUUUUUAUAUUUAAUACAAAUGUUUUCUAGCAAAAAAAAGGGACUUUCUCCUAUCCUUUUCAGUCCCGCCACUAUGGGGCCAUGGGAGAAGAGUGUACAAGACUUAAACCAACAGCAUUAGACCAAACAUUGGGUGGUGGCUGCGGCAACAGUAAUUGUUCAUGGAUAGAGGGAUUGAAAUCGCUACCAAAUUCAGGCAUUACUAGUCUAGGGUCAGACUGAUCUGCCGUUGAUGAUUCAAGAAGAAGGAGGAGGAGGAGAGUAAAUAUGUCUUUUUGUAUUCUAAAACUAACACCUCUCUUACGAGGGAAGGUUGAUGUAAAUGACCCUAUCAUAUAUUAUUGUAUCUAGGAUCAGAUUGAAGGGCCUGAUAGAAUUCUAAAACUUGCAUAUAAGUUAAUGGGUGAUUGGAACUGUCGAGGACAAAAUCUGUCUGUUGAUCGUAGAGUGACCUUUUUUUC